rnacentral:rRNA from 1 species
UACGGAGGGGGUUAGCGUUGUUCGGAAUGACUGGGCGUAAAGCGCGCGUAGGCGGAUCAUCAAGUCGGGGGUGAAAUCCCGGGGCUCAACCCCGGAAUGGCCUUCGAGACUGGCGGUCUUGAGUUCGAGAGAGGUGAGUGGAAUUCCGAGUGUAGAGGUGAAAUUCGUAGAUAUUCGGAGGAACACCAGUGGCGAAGGCGGCUCACUGGCUCGACACUGACGCUGAGGUGCGAAAGCGUGGGGAGCAAACAGG